rnacentral:lncRNA from 1 species
GGUAAAUUGUAGGAAGUGUUGUGACAAAGAAACGACCACUCAAUCCUGGCUCUUGAGUGACAUCCACCUUUCCCACAGUGAUAUCCAGGUGCUCACUUUCUUUCGCAAAACUCUCCCAUAUCAAUUCAAUCUGUUGACAAGCUGGACACCAAGGAGCAUAGAACUCCACCAUCCACUGGCCCUGCAGCACCAGGCUCCAGUUGGAGCCGCUCAGCACCUGCACGCGGCUCCGCGGCUCGCCGGG